UAUGUUUUUUUUAUUCAAUUAAUCAUCUUUCUAAUUUUGUUUGUUUAGUUUUAUACAUUUAUAUUAUUUACAUUAUUUAGAUUAUUACUAAUUGUAACAAUGAUUUGUGUCAACUACUAUUAACGUUCUUGAAAGCAAGAAACAUGGGAAAGGACAGCAAGACGAGGGAGAGGGAAGGAGAUGCAGAAGGCAGAAGAAGAAGAGAAGAAGAACAGAAGAGAAUAGGGAUGAUUGAGAGACAGUGAGUAGAAGAAAACAAAUGUUGUAUCUUUGUUUCAUGAAAAUCAGGAAUACAAGACUAAGGGGGUCUUUGUGAUUGGAUUUUAAGUGUAGAAAAGGCUUGAUUUAAUGAGCUUCAAAAAAGGUGCUAAAGUGGAGGUAUUGACCCGAAAUGAGGUACCAUCAGGAUUUUGGCGUUGUGCCGAGAUAAUUGAUGGCAAUGGCCGCAUCUACGUUGUUAAGUAUGAUGGAGAUAUGGAGCUUUGGGGGAAACCAAUUGUUGAAAGAGUGCCUGGAAGUCAAUAAGGCCUUGCCCUCCUCCAGUCGACUUGUUACAACAUUGGAUAGCUGGGGAUGUGAUUGAGGUUUUCCAUAACUUUUCAUGGAAAAUAGCCACAAUUUUGGAGGUGUUAGGAUGCAAUUAUCUCUGGGUUGUCGAACUUACAGUGAAUAAGUUUAAUGCUAAAGCAAGGCUUUGCUGGCAGGAUGGCCAAUGGACUGUGAUUGGAAAGUCUUCCAACAAAGUUGAUGAGCCGAGGUUUAGGUUUCCAUCGUCUCGUCAGGAUCAUAGUCAGUUGAAGAAAGUUUGUGCAAAUGUGAGUAGACAUGUGAAAGGUUUCUAUAUUGGCACUAGGAAUAUCAAUAAUGUUCAGUAACAUGCGAGUCCUCCUAGAAAAUUGUAAAGGAAGGAAUCUUAUUUCAAUCUGCAGAUUGAAGCUUACACAAGGCCCAAGCGGAAAACUAGAUUGGAAAAAAGAGAGAGCGCGUGACAUCAUUUCAAUGAUAUGCAGGAACCCCUAUUACCUGAAAAGGUAGAAGAUGUUGCUUCCUCACACAAAAUGCUGCAUGAAAAAUUGUUGCUAUCUUUUUAUCAAAUAUUAGAUUUACACCCUACUAAUUCGAUUCUCACACGCUAGUUUUAUUGAACGAAUUAAUAAGAAUUUAACUAAAAUUUACCCUUAAGCAACGUUGAUCCUAAUCUCACACGCUAGUUUUAUUGAUUAGUCCAACAAAGCAUGUUUAAUUUAGGGUUAUUAGCGCAAUUUAAUCACUUUAAUCCUAAUUUCAUAGACACUUUUAAUAAUCUGAUCAUACUUGAAUCGUAGGUUCAAACCUUAACCUUAGAAAAUGGAUCUACUAACUAUUCAUGGUGAAAGUAUUGAAUACAAACCCUAUGAUGAUACUGAACAUGAAUAAGUAUGAUAAUAAUGACAAUUGCAAGAGAAGCAAUAAUUAAAUGCCAAAGAACACAACGAUUGAAUUAAAGAGCAAUAAACGAGGAACAAAACUAAUUAUUAUUAAAGGGUGAUUAAUGAUAAUAACAAAAUUUCCCUAAUGCAAGAUUAAACUAAUAUGAUAGAUUUAAAGCAAAGGAAAUUUAUACUAAAAUAAACUUACAAUGCUUCAAGGAAUGAUUAGUGGUAGACUUAUUGAAGAACUAAAGUUAAAGGAUGAAUUCAAAAGCAAAAA